rnacentral:rRNA from 1 species
CCUACGGGAGGCUGCAGUGAGGAAUAUUGGUCAAUGGGCUUACGCCUGAUCCAGCCAAGUCGCGUGAGUGAAGACUGCCCUAUGGGUUGUAAACCUCUUCUGUCAGGGAGCAAUUGGCGCUACGUGUAGCGUUAUCGAGAGUACCUGACGAAAAAGCAUCGGCUAACUCCGUGCCAGCAGCCGCGGUAAUACGGAGGAUGCGAGCGUUAUCCGGAUUUAUUGGGUUUAAAGGGUGCGUAGGCGGAAUGCCAAGUCAGCGGUAAAACCGCGGGGUUAAAUCUCGCUCCGCCGUUGAAACUGGCGUGCUUGAGUGUGGGAGAGGGAUGCGGAAUGCGGGGUGUAGCGGUGAAAUGCGUAGAUAUCACGAAGAACUCCGAUUGCGAAGGCAGCACACCGGCGCCAAACUGACGCUGAGGCACGAAAGCGUGGGUAGCGAACAGGAUUAGAUACCCGUGUAGUC